GAUGAACGCUGGCGGCGUGCCUAAUACAUGCAAGUCGAGCGAACGGACGAGAGGCUUGCUUCUCUGAUGUUAGCGGCGGACGGGUGAGUAACACGUGGAUAACCUACCUAUAAGACUGGGAUAACUUCGGGAAACCGUAGCUAAUACCGGAUAAUAUUUUGAACCGCAUGGUUCAAAAGUGAAAGACGGUCUUGCUGUCACUUAUAGAUGGAUCCGCGCUGCAUUAGCUAGUUGGUAAGGUAACGGCUUACCAAGGCAACGAUGCAUAGCCGACCUGAGAGGGUGAUCGGCCACACUGGAACUGAAACACGGUCCAGACUCCUACGGGAGGCAGCAGUAGGGAAUCUUCCGCAAUGGGCGAAAGCCUGACGGAGCAACGCCGCGUGAGUGAUGAAGGUCUUCGGAUCGUAAAACUCUGUUAUUAGGGAAGAACAUAUGUGUAAGUAACUGUGCACAUCUUGACGGUACCUAAUCAGAAAGCCACGGCUAACUACGUG
rnacentral:rRNA from 1 species